UGUGCUUGCAGGUAACUCAGCCGACUGGCCUUUUCACGAUUUAAAACAAAAUGGUGUGCUGAAGAGAGACACCUUACUUUGGAUAGAGAUUAAAAUGGAAUCUGCUUGGACUAUGCUUUCCCAUACAGGUUUGAUUCGUAUAUACAUCUCAAGUUGGCUAUAUCUGGAUGGGUUGCAGUUUGCUUCUUUCAAAAAGACGAGGUGUUCUGGAAUGAUUUGCUUAUCUGCUUUAUGCAUGAUCAUCCAUUUUAUAGAUUAUAUAGGGUGUUGGUAUCUUUCUGUACACUGGCAUGAUCUCUAAAACAAGUCUCAGGCCAUAGAUAGGAUUGUCAUCAUGUAUGUUAUUUAGUUAUAUAGAAAAACAAAUCACAUAACUGCACAACACAGAACAGUACUGCUUCUGAACUGAUGUUGCCAUUGAUAAGGUUACUAAUGUUAGUUGGUGUCGGCUCUAGGGUGUAUAGUUUACACUCUAUGAAUCAUGUCAAGGUUCUGUAGAAAUCGGUUAUGUGUUUCAACAUUUUACAAUGUUAGUCGUUUAUCUAUUAUGUUCUACUCCCUCCGUUCCUAAAUAUAAGUCCAUUUGGAGAUUUCAAUAUGGACUAUAUACGGAGCAAAAUGGAUGAAUCUACACUCUAAAGUAAGUCUAUAUACAUCCGUAUGUAGUGUGUAUUGAAAUCUCUAAAAAGACCUAUAUUUAGAAACGGAGGGAGGGAUUUGUAUCUGUGGGUUUCUCAAAAUAAUUGUAUGUACUGGGAGAGGAGGUUUCCACGACUAUUGAUCAUUGAUCAGUUAGAACUUCUGCUGAAGAAAGGUGCCCUUUGGUUAACAUUUCUGAUAUAUAUAACAUACGACGUUGGAAUUUCCAUUGAAAUUUUGAAGGAAAGUACAUCAAUAGAAUGGCCUUUCUUCCGGUGGCCACCCCCUCCCGCCUUUCUGUUGCGUAUAUUCAUUUUGGAUAUUGACCAUGGUUGCAUAAAUUUAAGUUGCUUGUGAUCUUCUGUCUAUUUCCUGUUAAUUAUAAAUAAUCAGAACCAUCUCUGGUCAGUACACCAUAGCACAAUACCACACGGAUGCUUGGUAGUGCUUUUCAUAAAUUGGUAGUUUUUGCUUUGGUGGAGAGCUUUUGACGAAUUACUGGGUAUGCAAAUCUUGGUUUGAUCCGUCUACUAAUUUAUACUCUAAUGACAUGGAAGUCGAUGGCGUGAAAUGCCUAGCUGUUGACAUCCCCCCUCAGAGUUUUCUAGAGAGGUGAGCAAUUUAUAAUAACAAAAACAUAAACUAUUUUUGUUGCAGUUCUAGUUUGUUGAAAUGAGAUGGCUCUUGUUCCAUUGGACUCAAACUCUGUUACAAGAUUCCCCUUGCAUAAAUUUUUGAAGGAAGAGUGAAUUUCGUCAUGAACUUGACUGAACCAAACUUCUGAUCAUGUCAUUCCACUCCUUUCAUUAUGCUAUUUGAAGGUUUUGUGUCGAGUCAUUGACAUGUAAUGUUUUAGACAUAAUGGAUGAAAUCAUGUUAAUUCUAGCUCUGGUUCUUAUGUAGUGAUGCAUGCCGCUCACCUUUAUGUUUUCCAUUAUUUUGCAGAGAAUGUGUACAUGCAAAUUUUAUUCAUAGUGAACCUACGUGGUAGUUUUUGUUCUGAAUAUAUGCGUUCUACUCUGCUUGCAUCAGGCCAGUUCAUGCUUCCGAAUUUGUGGUUUUGAUCAGUGGCAAGCAUGUACAUAGCUGCAGCAGAAUUCAUUAGAUUAGACACGGUUACCAGUUUGUGGAUAGGUUGUAAUAUCUUUUAUCUUAUCAAUAUAUUUGAUGUUCGUUCGUGUAGCCUUUGGUUUCUAUAUAUUGAUUCAGUGUUGUACCCAUGCUGACAAUUCACGUACCAUUUCUGGCUAAAAAGGAAGGGAAACAAGCUUGCCAUUAAUUAAUGUAGUAAUUUGACUAGGUAAUGGUUUGUGGAAGGGAUUAAGAUGUGCAGACAACGUGGCUGCUCAGAGUAACUGUCCCAGGGCGGUUGACAACCAGGCAGCAGCGCAGAGAAAUUGUCUCAGGAUAGCAUGUUUGAGUAAGUUUUUUCAUAGUUUUCUCAAACACUUGUCUGCCAUUAUUUUAGAAGUAAGAGUGUUGAUUUUGUUACCUCCUGUUCUUAUGAAAAAAUAGUAAAAUCCUGAGAAUUAUUCCUGGUCUUAAUACAUCAUUUCGUUUACUGGUUUUGGGUCUGUUAUGGGUGUUGGAGGAGAUAGAUCAGGCAGAACUACAACCCGAGGUUGUGCAGGUUUGGUAUACCUCUUGCCAAGGUUAUAUCAUUUAAAGUUUGGCGAAAGACAAAAAUAUAUAAUAGGCAAAUAAAGCUUAGUUCAUCACUAAAAUAAUUAUGAAUAUCAAUGCAGUAAAGCUAUGAUGUAUGCUGUCAAUAACAUUUUAUAACUCUUUGGUAACAUCACUGAAACUAUUGAUUUGUCUUCUCUAAUUUAUUACAGUUAGCUUUGUUUUAGGUUGGGUGUUAAUAGAAAACAUUCAUUAUUUGCAUCAGCUAUAAGUUGACAUUAUGCAAAUGACAAUAACAAAA
rnacentral:lncRNA from 1 species